UACGAAGGGGGGCUAGCGUUGUUCGGAAUUACUGGGCGUAAAGCGCACGUAGGCGGAUAUUUAAGUCAGGGGGUGAAAUCCCAGAGCUCAACUCUGGAACUGCCUUUGAUACUGGGGUACCUAGAGUGUGGAAGAGGUGAGUGGAAUUCCGAGUGUAGAGGUGAAAUUCGUAGAUAUUCGGAGGAACACCAGUGGCGAAGGCGGCUCACUGGUCCACUACUGACGCUGAGGUGCGAAAGCGUGGGGAGCAACAGGG
rnacentral:rRNA from 1 species